CCUACGGGAGGCAGCAGUGGGGAAUAUUGCACAAUGGGGGAGACCCUGAUGCAGCGACGCCGCGUGAGUGAAGAAGUAUUUCUGUAUGUAAAGCUCUAUCAGCAGGGAAGAAAUAGCGACCUUUGGGUCGCCAGACGGUACCUGAGUAAGAAGCCCCGGCUCACUACGUGCCAGCAGCCGCGGUAAUACGUAGGGGGCAAGCGUUAUCCGGAUUUACUGGGUGUAAAGGGGGCGUAGACGGCAUGGCAAGUCUGAAGUGAAAUUCCUGGGCUUAACCCCGGAACUGCUUUGGAAACUGUGCAGCUAGAGUGUAGGAGAGGAAAGUGGAAUUCCUAGUGUAGCGGUGAAAUGCGUAGAUAUUAGGAGGAACACCAGUGGCGAAGGCGGCUAACUGGACCGUAACUGACGUUGAGGCUCGAAAGCGUGGGGAGCAAACAGGAUUAGAUACCCCAGUAGUC
rnacentral:rRNA from 1 species